rnacentral:rRNA from 1 species
UAAGGAAUAUUGGUCAAUGGGCGGAAGCCUGAACCAGCCAUGCCGCGUGCAGGAAGACGGCCCUAUGGGUUGUAAACUGCUUUUGUACCGGAAUAAACCUACUUACGUGUAAGUAGCUGAAUGUACGGUAAGAAUAAGGAUCGGCUAACUCCGUGCCAGCAGCCGCGGUAAUACGGAGGAUCCAAGCGUUAUCCGGAUUUAUUGGGUUUAAAGGGUGCGUAGGCGGCCUUGUAAGUCAGGGGUGAAAGACGGCAGCUCAACUGUCGCAGUGCCUUUGAUACUGCAAGGCUUGAAUACACUUGAAGUAGGCGGAAUGUGACAAGUAGCGGUGAAAUGCAUAGAUAUGUCACAGAACACCGAUUGCGAAGGCAGCUUACUAAAGUGUGAUUGACGCUGAGGCACGAAAGCGUGGGGAUCAAAC